CUUUUUUUCUUUUCUAGAUUUUGUUACUUCCCCUCUUAACGAGGCGGCCAUCAUUGUUUUGACGAAACUCUCUCCUACAAAAAUGGAGUCAAAUGUCAACAACACGAUGAAGAAGGAGGACGUCUGCUUGGAAGUCAUCGUGACAAGCCUAAACACUUCUUUCAACAAAUCAGCCUCCAACAACGACAGUGCAAAUUCUAUACGCAUUGCCAGUGCUGAUACAUCACUAAAUGCAUCCCUCCCACCAAGUCCAUGGGAGUCGCGACGCAUUCGUGCCGAUUUAAUCGAAGCCAAGGCUUGUUAAAUUUAAACAAGAAAUCGAACGUCAACACAAAAUCGUCAAGAAAUGGAGCCAAUGUAUGAUAGUAAAGUUCGUGAACUCACUAAACAAUGUGAUUUCUCAUCCAACAAACUGCUAGACAUGGAAAAGUACAUGACUGUGAUGCGUAAGAGAGAACAACGUUCCAAAUCCGAAUUGACUGCUGCCAAGAGCGAACUCAAUGAACAAGAGUUAGCUUACGAAGAAACGAUUCAUGAGCUUCAGCGAACUAAUGCGGAAAUUGAAGAGAAUGCGAGACUCAUGCAACACGACUUGACCAAUGAAUUGAGUGAUUAUCGACGACAUUCAGAUAAUGAUACAGCUUUCUUUUAUUUCUCAAUUCUAUCAAAAUUUUGAAUGGAAGUUCAAAAUUCAAGUCAAGGAUGGAAUUAACAUAAUAUAUUGUUAAUUUUAGAGAAGAGGCUGAAUGGCAAAUUAAAAAUUUUGACAACUGGCGCAAUUCAGAAAAAGUGUUCAUAAAUUCAAAGUAAAAUACAUGCGCAUAUAGUUUUUCUGACAUUAGUCUGAUCGCAAAUGAGCAUGUAAACAAAGCAACCAUGCAACCAUGAAGGCACCCACUAUCCUUUCCUCCAAUAUGUCCAAUCAUAGUCAUC